rnacentral:lncRNA from 1 species
AUUGUUAUUUUUAAAUGUAUCUUCUCUAUAAGCAGAAGUAGAAGCUCUAGAGGUACAAGGUAGAUCUACCUCAUAAUCUAAAGGAGAGAUGAAGGAGUGGCUGGAUUUAGAUCCGGAAUAAGAAGUCGAAUGUCUUCGUAAAUUAUUAAAACCAAUAUUAAUGAUUCCAUCAUUACUUUGAGUGAUGUGUUGAAAGUUGC